GAAUAUUUGUGGCUUGAUGUCUUUGUUAUUGUUUGUAUGGUACCUUUGUCUCUAACAUAUGAUCUUAUUAGCUAAACAACAGGAAUUAAGAAAGUUAUGAGUGGAAGAUGCAACCUAUUUUGUGUUAGAAACCAUUUGAGUUUUGUGUGGUGUUGGUCUCUCUAUCUCUCUCUCUAUGUAUUGAUAUCUAGAAGUAGUGUUUGAUAUCUAGAAGGCCUAUUCUCUCACUCUCUAAACAUCCGUUACAUGAUCCUUCUUCAUUUUGCAUUUCUAAACAUCCGUUACAUGAUCCUUCUUCAUUUUGCAUUAACAUUAUUAUCAUCACAAAAUAAAAAAAGGAGCUAAUUAUCAAUCCCAACUUCAUUUUUGACAAAUCUAUGGAUAUAUAUUGUGUUACUUUAUGCAGUUUUAUCCUCAAUAUUCCUAUAAUCACCUUAUGAUAUAUAGUACUAAAAGAUGAGACUUUUCUAUUGCAAGAUGAUACUUCGUAGAAACACGCACAGGAAAGACUUGGAGUUGACUAGAGAUAAUGACAUUUAAGAAAGAUGCUAAACUUAUCUUGCACGAUUAAU
rnacentral:lncRNA from 1 species